rnacentral:misc_RNA from 1 species
GAAAUGCGAUAAGUAAUGUGAAUUGCAGAAUUCAGUGAAUCAUCGAAUCUUUGAACGCACAUUGCGCCCUUUGGUAUUCCAAAGGGCAUGCCUGUUCGAGCGUCAUUUGUACCCUCAAGCUUUGCUUGGUGUUGGGCGUUUUUUGUCUUUGGCUCGCCCAAAGACUCGCCUUAAAACGAUUGGCAGCCGGCCUACUGGUUUCGCAGCGCAGCACAUUUUUGCGCUUGCAAUCAGCAAAAGAGGACGGCAAUCCAUCAAGACUCCUUCUCACGUUUGACCUCGGAUCAGGUAGGGAUACCCGCUGAACUUAAGC